rnacentral:rRNA from 1 species
UACGUAGGGUGCAAGCGUUAAUCGGAAUUACUGGGCGUAAAGCGUGCGCAGGCGGUUUUGUAAGUCUGUCGUGAAAUCCCCGGGCUUAACCUGGGAAUGGCGAUGGAGACUGCAAGGCUAGAGUUUGGCAGAGGGGGGUAGAAUUCCACGUGUAGCAGUGAAAUGCGUAGAGAUGCGGAGGAACACCGAUGGCGAAGGCAGCCCCCUGGGCUAACACUGACGCUCAGGCACGAAAGCGUGGGGAGCAAACAGG